ensembl:antisense Gm26801 predicted gene, 26801
ACUCCACGGAUCGACCCGUCCACCGCUACCGCGGACCCUCGGAGGUUCUGUGAGAAAAUCUCCAUUCACUGAACUAAAAACAAGGGACCCGGUAUGGGCAAACCUGAGCAUUCAAGAAGUAACAUCGUGAUCAUCAGUUUAAGGGCACGGCGGCGCUAGAAUUUGGGGCCACCACUGCAUUAUGAGGUCUACAAACUUUCGAAACAGGAGGAUCUUCUGAAACAAGAGGAUCUUUCGAGAAAACAGAGGAUUUUAUUUUCUUUGAACGACACUGGAGCCUGAGGAAGCAUCCCAUCCAGCAGGGCCUCUCAGCAACGGGAGUAACGUCGCUUUGCUCAGCGUGAACGUCCAGAUCCCAUUCCCAAAAUGGUUUACAUGUUUCUGACCUCCUUGCCAUGUGCCUCUAAACCUCACCUCCAUCCCGAGUCUUUUCCUUCAUGGUUUUUUUCUUUCUUUUCUUUUUUCUUUUUUCUUUUUUUUUUAAAUUUGAGUUCUCACUGCUAGUAUUAUUAUUUUUAGGGCUGCAAUCUCCCAUAGCCCUUAUUUUCACUCAAAAUUACAAUACAGGGGACUAUGGCCAAUGCUAUGCAGAUGGCCAAAUAGAUAAUAAAGACUCGGUUCAUGAAUAAUACCCACUCAGAAAGAGGACAAAAGCAACAGGAAAAAAGACCCAAAUUGGACAAAAUGUGCAUGCUAUAUUUAAAAAAAACCACACACGCGAUCAUUGUCAGAGAUCAUUAAGGGUGCCCUGUAGUUUUAAUUAUAUGCCAGUGGCACCAAUUUGAUGUGACUGUUUGCUCCUAUAGUCAAUAAAAAAAGUCAUAACUGCCAUCAAAUUUAAAUUUAAUUUAUUUUCUACACAGCCCUUUCUGUUUUCCUUGUUUUUUUCUUUUAUAACAUUAACACUUUUUUUGUUGAAAAAUGUGUGAAAGAUUAAUUUGUAGAAUGAGGGAGCCGUGGGUGCACAGCAAAGGACAGAUGGAGUGGGUGGGACAUGACAGUUUUUGUCUGUGGCAUCAUUUUGUUGUUGCUAUUGCAAGGGAAAGAGAGCUACUGCUACCACGAUCCUUUCUUGGGGUUGGGGACACUCUGAGAAGGUAUGCUUCUCUCACCUCAAGCUGGCCACUGCCAUCUCAGGGCACAGACCCCUACCAAGACAAGUCAUGAGCUCUUCCGUUUCCACAACGGAGAUUUUCAUAGAAUUCCACCCUACUUUUGU